GACGUAACAUAAUUUUUUUAGAAUUCCAAGUAAUCCUAUCAUUAGGAGUCAGUGGAUAUACCGCAUUAAAAAAACAACAUACUACCGCAUGACUCUAAUUUAAUUAGUGAUUUUGAUUUAUUUAAAAAGGUAACAACUAGAUAAUGUGACACUAAAACCGAAUAACACUAUGUAUACAAACUUAUUUGAUUAGCCUAUUUUUAUUUUUCAUUAUUUAUGGGAGAAUCUUAGAAGCUGGUAUCAUUAUUUACGUCAACGCGCAGUGCAAAAUGACACCUACACGCACACAUGCAUAACAAUUUUGUCUCUACUUCUUUGUUGUGAUUGUAGGGUGACACUCCAUCUAGACAUAUAUAUAAUCAAAG
rnacentral:lncRNA from 1 species